rnacentral:rRNA from 1 species
CAAUAGCGUAUAUUAAAGUUGUUGCAGUUAAAAAGCUCGUAGUUGGACUUGUGAUGGUUCCUGUGGUCCAAUUUUGGUACUUUCGGGGACUGUCAUCUUUGGGUGGAUCCUGUGUGGCAUUAGGUUGUCGUGCAGGGGAUGCCCAUCGUUUACUGUGAAAAAAUUAGAGUGUUCAAAGCAGGCUUAUGCCGUUGAAUAUAUUAGCAUGGAAUAAUGAGAUAGGACCUUGGUACUAUUUUGUUGGUUUGCGCACCGAGGUAAUGAUUAAUAGGGACAGUUGUGGGUAUUCGUAUUCCAUUGUCAGAGGUGAAAUUCUUGGAUUUCUGGAAGACGAACUAAUGCGAAAGCAUUUACCAAGGAUGUUUUCAUUAA